UUGGGGGUAGCUUGCUACCUGCCGGUCGAGUGGCGAACGGGUGAGUAAUACAUCGGAACGUGCCCUGUAGUGGGGGAUAACUAGUCGAAAGACUAGCUAAUACCGCAUACGACCUGAGGGUGAAAGUGGGGGACCGCAAGGCCUCAUGCUAUAGGAGCGGCCGAUGUCUGAUUAGCUAGUUGGUGGGGUAAAGGCCCACCAAGGCGACGAUACAGUAGCUGGUCUGAGAGGACGAUCAGCCACNCUGGGACUGAG
rnacentral:rRNA from 1 species